rnacentral:rRNA from 1 species
AGGUCAAGUGAAGAAGGGCGCACGGUGAAUGCCUUGGCACUGGAAGCCGAUGAAGGACGCGACUAACCGCGAAAGUCUUCGGGGAGCCGUAAGUAGGCUUUGAUCCGGAGGUCUCCGAAUGGGGGAACCCAGCAUGUGCAGACAUGCUAUCCUUAAGUGAAUACAUAGCUUAAGGAGGGAACACGCAGUGAACUGAAACAUCUAAGUAGCUGCAGGAAGAGAAAGAAAUAUCGAUUUCCCAAGUAGCGGCGAGCGAACAGGAAAGAGCCCAAACCGGCAGAUUUAUCUGCCGGGGUUGUAGGACUGAGACAUGGCACUUCAGAGGAUAGCAGAAGCGUUUGGGAAAGCGCGCCAGAGAGGGUGAGAGCCCCGUAAGCGAAAUCCAAAGGAGGCCUAUCAGUAUCCUGAGUAGGGCGGGACACGUGAAAUCCCGUUUGAAUCCGCGAGGACCAUCUCGCAAGGCUAAAUACUAACCAGUGACCGAUAGUGAACCAGUACCGUGAGGGAAAGGUGAAAAGAACCCCGGGAGGGGAGUGAAAGAGAACCUGAAACCGUGUGCCUACAAGUAGUCAGAGCCCGUUAACGGGUAAUGGCGUGCCUUUUGUAGAAUGAACCGGCGAGUUGCGUUAGUCAGCAAGGUUAAGUCAGAAAAGACGGAGCCGUAGCGAAAGCGAGUCUGAAGAGGGCGAGCAGUUGGCUGACGCAGACCCGAAACCAAGUGACCUACCCAUGACCAGGUUGAAGGCGCGGUAAAACGCGCUGGAGGACCGAACCCACGUAAGUUGAAAAUUGCGGGGAUGAGUUGUGGGUAGCGGUGAAAUUCCAAACGAACUUGGAGAUAGCUGGUUCUCUCCGAAAUAGCUUUAGGGCUAGCCUCGCAAAGAGGAUGCUGGAGGUAGAGCUCUGUUUGGACUAGGGGCCCGUCAAGGGUUACUGAAUUCAGAUAAACUGCGAAUUCCAGACAUUUAUGUGCGGGAGUCAGACUGCGAGUGAUAAGAUCCGUAGUCGAAAGGGAAACAGCCCAGAUCACCAGUUAAGGUCCCAAAAUUCAUGCUAAGUGGAAAAGGAUGUGGAGUUGCGCAGACAACUAGGACGUUGGCUCAGAAGCAGCCAUCAUUCAAAGAGUGCGUAAUAGCUCACUAGUCGAGUGACGCCGCGCCGAAAAUUUACCGGGGCUAAGCAUGAUACCGAAACUGUGGAUGUGCAUUUAUGCACGUGGUAGGAGAGCGUUCUAGCGGCGGUGAAGCAUGACCGAGAGGACAUGUGGAGCUUCUAGAAGUGAGAAUGCCGGUAUGAGUAACGAAAGACAGGUGAGAAUCCUGUCCGCCGCAAGACUAAGGUUUCCUGGGGCAGGCUCGUCCGCCCAGGGUAAGUCGGGACCUAAGGCGAGGCCGAGAGGCGUAGUCGAUGGACAACAGGUUGAAAUUCCUGUACUGCACCGAAUCGUUAUGAGCGAUGGAGGGACGCAGGAGGCUAGCAGCGCGUGGUGCUGGAUACCACGUUCAAGCGUCAAGUCUGAGAGCGAGUCAAAUGCUUGCUCUCAUAAGGACAAGGCGUGAUGAGGAGCGAAAUUAAAGUAGCGAAGG